rnacentral:rRNA from 1 species
UACGAAGGGGGCUAGCGUUGCUCGGAAUCACUGGGCGUAAAGCGCACGUAGGCGGCUUACUAAGUCAGGGGUGAAAUCCUGGAGCUCAACUCCAGAACUGCCUUUGAUACUGAAAGUCUUGAGUAUGGGAGAGGUGAGUGGAACUGCGAGUGUAGAGGUGAAAUUCGUAGAUAUUCGCAAGAACACCAGUGGCGAAGGCGGCUCACUGGCCCAUAACUGACGCUGAGGCACGAAAGCGUGGGGAGCAAACAGG